UACGUAGGCAGCAAGCGUUGUUCGGAAUUACUGGGCGUAAAGCGUGCGCAGGCGGUUUUGUAAGCCAGAUGUGAAAUCCCCGGGCUCAACCUGGGAAUGGCAUUUGGGACUGCAAGGCUGGAGUGUGGCAGAGGAGACUGGAAUUCCUGGUGUAGCAGUGAAAUGCGUAGAUAUCAGGAGGAAUACCGAUGGCGAAGGCAGGUCUCUGGGCUGACACUGACGCUCAUGCACGAAAGCGUGGGGAGCAAACAGG
rnacentral:rRNA from 1 species